rnacentral:rRNA from 1 species
CCUACGGGAGGCAGCAGUAGGGAAUCUUCCACAAUGGGCGAAAGCCUGAUGGAGCAACGCCGCGUGGGUGAAGAAGGUCUUCGGAUCGUAAAACCCUGUUGUUAGAGAAGAAAGUGCGUGAGAGUAACUGUUCACGUUUCGACGGUAUCUAACCAGAAAGCCACGGCUAACUCCGUGCCAGCCGCCGCGGUAAUACGUAGGAGGCAAGCGUUAUCCGGAUUUAUUGGGCGUAAAGGGAACGCAGGCGGUCUUUUAAGUGUGAUGUGAAAGCCUUCGGCUUAACCGGAGUAGUGCAUUGGAAACUGGGAGACUUGAGUGCAGUAGAGGAGGGUGGAACUCCAUGUGUAGCGGUGAAAUGCGUAGAUAUAUGGAAGAACACCAGUGGCGAAGGCGGCUCUCUGGUCUGUAACUGACGCUGAGGUUCGAAAGCGUGGGUAGCAAACAGGAUUAGAUACCCCAGUAGUC